AUCACCGUUCAUUUUUUAGAAUUAAACCUUUGUUAGACACAAUUUAAUUUUGUGAGCAUUGGUGAAAUAAUACUGAUAAACAUUAUAGAUAUCAUUUGGAUUUUCAUUUUAACCUGAUAACACUGUCUAUAUUGUAUAGAAAAUAUGACUUAACUUGAAAACCAAAAUGGCAGAACGAAUGGAAACGCCAUUAUAAUCAGCAUCGGAAACUGUGUAUGAUUGUCUUUGUUUCGGAUGCGAAGAGAACGGUCAGCAAAUUGAGAUUCAACAUUUCUGCAAAAGAUGUCGACGCUAUUUUUGUGAAAACUGCGUCGGUGUGCAUAAUCAACUUUUCAAGAACCAUGUCGUUUAAGGGAAGGGAGUGAAAUCAGACUGGCCCCUUGCAGAAGCAAAGCUUGAUUAUAUAACAAAGUGCGAUCAACAUCCGGAAGAAACGAUAAAGCUGAAGAGGCGGGAGAAUUUGAAUUGAAGAGGAUUUUCAGAACCUCCCUCAAAAUGUUCUCGCUAGAUGUGAAAAGAUAAACUCAGAACACGUUGAAAUGGAGAAGCAGCUUGAGACUCUUCAACCCAGUUUUGACGAAACACUUCUAGAAGACGCGUCUUUCCAAAAGAAAAUGACAGAUGCAAUAAAUAAGCUGGGUCAGUCGUCUACUUCGGAACUUAAAACAAUGCUUACCAGAAUUCAUGAAACCUGCAAUAAUGAAAUUUAGCGUCAUUUAGAAAUUAAUCAAAGUUAUAAACAUCUCCAAAAAGGCCACGAAAGCAUAAAACAGGAUAAUAAGCAACUAGCGUUUAUACUGUGUAAGAAAUAUUAUGAACUUUACGAAGAAACAGACUCGCUAUAAACGAAAAGACGACAGGGAAAUAAGCUUCAGAUUACAUGCUGAAGCAUCGAUGUUGCAGUUACUGUCCGAAUUUGCUAGCCUUGGAAAAGUUCAACAUAUAAGAACGAGUCAAGUAAAGUCAUUAAAGUAUCAGAAAAGACCGAGUUUACUAUUUCAGAAGUUUCGGAAACGGGAAUGAUAAUUGGAAUAUGUGAACUGGCAAACCGUAAGUUCAUAAAAGCUGAACGUUCUAACGCGAAGACUUACUUGUUAGAUGACUCGUUAAAAGUGGUGUCACAUCUUUAUUUGAAAGGCCACCCGCAACAAAUGUGAAACGUUAGUUUAUAUAGCGUGGCCGUUCUACUUGAUGACGGGGAUCUCCUCUUUAUUCGUAUUAAUUAUCACCAAAUGACAACGGAGAUAAUAGUACAAUUGGGGAAAGGUUGUUCCGGUUUUGGAUACCACAACAACGAUAUAUUUGUAGGAAAAUCUGCAAACAUCGUCCACUACAGUAUUGCAGGAAAUGUCAAACAAGAAAUAUCUAUUCAACGUGGAUUUGCGUGCAGGUGUGCGGCAAGCCCGGACGGGACAAUUGUAUGCGUCACAACCCAAGUUGCGAAAACAUUCCUUGAAAUGACGAAGGCUAAGACUCUUCAACCUCCUUCAGGCGAGCUUAAGCUCACGUGGCCAAUGGACGUUCAUGUUACAAAAAAUGGUCAGGUGCUUGUCUGUUGUUGUGGAUCUAAGGAAAUCGUGCAACUAAAUAAGGAAGGUAAAAAGAUACUGGGACGCAUUGCCGUCAGCGGUAGUCCCGCGUGCGUGUGCUUCAGCAAAAAAAGGGGAAUGCUGCUCGUGGGUCUAAAUGCCAGCAACAAAAUACAGGUGUUCAAGACGAGGCAAUUAGAAUUCCUUAACUAAAAUAUAUCAAAGUUUCAAAUUAAAUGCAACUGACUCUGUCUGAGCACAUGCAGUAGGGCUAGUAUUGAGCCCGAAGAACAUACGGUGUACCCAAAUUAUAAUAAUGGUUUGUAAAUAUCUGAUGCCUUUAAAACAUUGUUAAAUAGGUUAUUGCACACAUAUAAUAUUUGUCCACGGUGUUUGAUGUAUUGCUACAGUGGUUGUUUUCCAUUUUAGCUGAUAUACAAUUCAAAUUUGUAUUUAAAGCAGCCUUUUCACAGAUUUUGGCAUAUACUGAAGCUUGUCAUUAAAUGCUUUUAAUUGAUAAAAUUAAAACAUUGGACCUAAAAAUCUCUAGUAAAAAACAAGAAUACAGUUCAAAAAAGGAUAAAAAGUAACCCUCAACUGGGCUCGAACCACUGGAGUGUAGGAGUAAAAAGUCUCCCACUUAGACCACUCGACCAUCCGUGCUCAUGUUAUGAGCUGAUGUAUUUUUAGCUCGACUAUUAUAUAUGAAAUAUUUAUAGUGGAGCUAUCCUACUCACCACGGCGUCGGCGUUCCCGUUCCGGUGAGCGUUGGAAUGUUAAAGUGUGUGUACCACCUCAAAUAUUUCCCAUAUCCCUUGACAUAUUGCUUUUAUAUUUUGCAUACUUCUUUACCAACAUGACCCCAACCAAUACACAAGAGCAGACAACUGUAUCAAGAAUUUUGUAAGAAUUGUGGCCCUUUUUUCACUAAGAAUGUGCAUAUUAUUGAUAAAGCUAUGUUAAAGUUUACGUACCACCUCAAAUAUGUCCCUUGAUAUUGUGCAUACUUCUUUACCAACAUGACUCCAAUCUAUAAACAUGAGCAGACAACUGUAACAAGCAUUUUGUAAGAAUUAUGUUCCCUUUUUAUACUUAGAAAAUUGAAAAUUGGGUUAAGUUUUGUGUUUAGGUUCACUUUAUUCCUAAAGUAUCAAAGCUAUUGCUUUCAGACUUGCAAAACUUACUAACUAUCAUAAGGGGACUGUGCAAGCAAAGUUGUGUAACUCUGGCUGGCAUUUUGACAAAAUUAUGUCCCCUUUUAUACUUAGAUAAUUUAACAUUUGGUUAAGUUUUGUGUUUUGGUCCAUUUUACUCAUAAAGUAUCAAGGCUAUUGCUUUCAGACUUGAAAAAAAUCUCGCUAGCUAUCGUAAGGGGACUGUACAGGGCAAGUUGCAUAUCUCUGGUUGGCAUUUUAAUGAAAUUGUGGCCCUUUUUUUAUCUUAGUUACUUUGAAUAUGUUGUUAAAUUGUGUUUUAAGAUCCACUUUACUUCUGAAGUAUCAAGGUUAUUGCUUUCAAACUUCAAAUACUUUCUUACUAUCACUAGGGUGCUGUACCUGUAAGUUGAUUUAUACCUUGACCUUUGAAUGACCUUGACUCUCAAGGUCAAAUUAAUAAAUUUUGCUUAAAUUGCCAUAACUUCUUUAUUUAGAAUUAGAUUUGAUUCGUACUUUGACAAAACAACACUAAACUGACAUUCCACAAUGGACUGCAUCCACACCAUCCCCCACGCCCCACCCCAGAAUCCCACUCCAAAAAAAUAAUAUAUUUGUUUCCCUUUUUUCUUCUUAUUUUUGAAAUAUCAUCUAAUAAAUGACCACCCCCACAUUAUACCCCCUCUACAACCCCAUCCCACCAUCCCCACCCAAUUUUGUUUUUGAAACAUUGAUUAAACUAUUUAUUUAUUUUAUUUUUGAAGGACCGUCCAACCAUUCUACCCAAGCUAUUGCUAUCAAACUUGAAAUAAAAUCUUAUUACCAGGUA